rnacentral:rRNA from 1 species
ACGGGUGAGUAACACGUAGGCAACCUGCCUGUAAGAUCGGGAUAACUACCGGAAACGGUAGCUAAGACCGGAUAGCUGAUUGUCUCGCAUGAGAGAAUCACGAAACAUGGGGCAACCUAUGGCUUACAGAUGGGCCUGCGGCGCAUUAGCUAGUUGGCGGGGUAACGGCCCACCAAGGCGACGAUGCGUAGCCGACCUGAGAGGGUGAACGGCCACACUGGGACUGAGACACGGCCCAGACUCCUACGGGAGGCAGCAGUAGGGAAUCUUCCGCAAUGGACGCAAGUCUGACGGAGCAACGCCGCGUGAGUGAGGAAGGCUUUCGGGUCGUAAAGCUCUGUUGCCCUAGACGAACGCUUGGGAGAGUAACUGCUCUCAAGGUGACGGUAUAGGAGAAGAAAGCCCCGGCUAACUACGUGCCAGCAGCCGCGGUAAUACGUAGGGGGCAAGCGUUGUCCGGAAUUAUUGGGCGUAAAGCGCGCGCAGGCGGUAGUUUAAGUCUUCUGUUUAAUGCCCGGGCUCAACCCGUGUACGCAGAGGAAACUGGGCGACUGGAGUGCAGGAGAGGGAAGUGGAAUUCCACGUGUA